rnacentral:lncRNA from 1 species
UGGCUGACAGAAGAAAUGCGAUGUGGUCUGAGGGACGAUAUGACUAUGAAAGGCUUCCAACAGAACAAGUACCUCCUCAGACUGAUCCCAUUCCACCUGGUUCCACGCUACAAAGACGCAGAGGACACCGGACCACCAGACCACUGUACUGGGAUGGCUACCAUGGGGUAGUUAAUAUUGUGCCAGAGAAGCCACCACUGCUGGACAGACCUGGUGAAGGAAGCUACAGUAAAUAUCACAGUCAUGUUGGCUACCAAGAGUAUGUUGAGGGUUGCAGUUUUUCUCAUGAUCGAAGAAGUGGUCUACCUCACAGAGGAGUAUGUAAAUUUCCCCAUGAACUAACCAUUAUUUCUCUCUCUUUUUUUUUUUGUAUCGGGGAUCAAACUUGGGUCCUUGCCGCUUGCAAGGCAGGCGGCGGAACCACUGAGCUAAAUCCCUGGCCCUUAACCGUUAUUUCUUAUGUUUGAAAUUCAUGUAAUUAAAAUGUAUGUGACUGCAUAAAAGCAAUUGAAUAAACAUUUCCAACCUGCUAUAGCUGUCAUAUCAGGAAUUGUAGUCAUGAAUCUUGGGGUACUGGACAAAGUGGGUAAGCACACUGGACAGCUCAGAAUGCCAUUAAUUCCAGCUGGCUUACCUUUCUUGUUUGUUAGGGAUCAAGCCAAGUAAGUACUUUUAAAAUAUUAACUGCUAUCAUUGGUAUUUUAAUUUUUCUCUUGAUAAGUAGAAGUUCAUAAAGUUGUGCUGAUUUGUUAUUAACCUUAUUAAAAAUAUUCCUUGAUGUUGUUCCCCUUUUAGCUUUGCAUCUUUACAAUAUUCCUCUUUUACAUGUUUUCUACCUUUUCCAUUUCCCCUUUUGUACUGUAUGUAACAUAGUAAUUAACAGGACAUAUUUAAACACUGUUAUAAUAAAAUUUGAUCUCAUACUGGCUAUGGGAUUAGUCCCCAUAGAGUACACUUGAAGAAAUGGAGGUCAGCAAUUUCCAGUGGUGGGUAUUUACAGGACCUCAGUUCUCUUAUUAUUACAUAAUAGUACCUUUGACAGUUCCAAAGCGCUAACAAGACCAUUCAUUGUGUUCUUGUGUUUGUUUCUAAAGUUUGAAGUAUUAUAGUCUCCUUGUUAUAGAAUUGAUUUUGUUUUUGGUUCAGAUCUUAAAUGUCAUGCUGUUCCUUGCAAAGAUGGGUCAGGUAUUGAAAAGUAAAUACUGUGCAUUGUUUCUGUGCUAGAAAUUUUAGAUUUUGCCAUCAGUCAUUUUCCAGGUAGAUCCAGGAGGAAACAAUUUGAUUGUAGCAUAAACAUUUGUUACCCCUCUUGUGAAAACCCUUUAUGACCUUUUAAUAUAGACAGGGAGUUGUAUUUUCUCUGGACUAGUUUUUAAAAUGUUAUGAGCAUGUUUGUUUUUUUUUUUCCCUUCAAAAUUGUACCAUAGCAGGGGAUUUAGCUUAGUGGUUCCAGCGCCUGCCUCGAAAGCGCAAGGUCCUGAGUUCGCUCCCCGGUACCAAAAAAACACUGUAUUAGCGCUUCCAGAAGAGCACAGGUGUUUCCUAUGGGUCUUCCAAAUUUUGUUUGUCUGGGCUGGAGAUACAGCUGAGUAGUAGAACUCUUUCCUAGCAUGUUCAAGGCUUUCAUUUCAAUCCCCAGAACCAUGAAACAAAAGAAAACAAUACAGUUGUAUUUGUCUUCAUGCUUUAUAUAAUAUUUUUCUUUCAUUUUCCUUCAAACACCAGGCACGCUUGUCAUCCUUACACAAUUCUCACAGUAAUUAUUAUCUGGGGUCCACUUACAUAAAACAAACUGCUUGAUCUGGUAUUGUAUCACAGCUGUUGAAUUGUUUCCUUUUGUUUAUAUUUAAUGUUGAGAAGGAAAAUGAUACAUAAAUUUUACUUAAGAUUAGGCAUGUGUUGAUAAAGAGGAACAUGAAAUUUUUCUUCUUGAAUCAGUUUUCCUGAUUAUAAUUUGUAUGUUAUAAUUUUAAUGUAAUUGAGUAUGGAUUACUAUUUUGUUCCUUUAUGCACCUUUCAAAUAUAUCUUAGAGGAUAAAAUGUGUUAAUUAAUAUUAAAUUUACUGCUACAUGUUAAUCUUAAUAUAGCUUAUCAAGGACAAUUCUUUACUAUAUUGCUUUUUGUUUGUUUGUUUGGUACAGGGGAUUGAAGUUGGGUCCUUGCACUUGCAAGGCAGGCUGUGGCACCACUGAGCUAAAUCCCCGGCUUACUAUAUAUUGCUUUUUUUUCUUUUAUUGUUUUUAAUUGUGGCAUUUAACAAGAGAGAAGGUGAGAAAAGAAAAUGUGAGCUAGGGCUGGGGAUUUAGCUCAGUGGUUCCACCGCCUGCCUUGCAAGCACAAGAACCCGAGUUCAAUCCCUGGUACCACAAAAAAAAAAAAAAAAAAUGUGAGCUAGUAAAGUGAAAGAAGUAGUUGCAAGUUUUCUUCUUUGAGCUUGAAUCUGAAAAUUGAUGAGAGAACUUGGAAAAUUAUGAGUGAAGAAAUUAUAACCAACUCAAGCCUUUGUUCUCCAGUAGCCAUUAACUGUCCUGAUGUUGUUAUUUGUGUCUUUGGCAGUACAUCUGUACAGUAUGAAUCUGCCAAGUGAGUCACAUAAUAUUAAUAGAGGUAAAUGGUACUAUAGGUUCUCACUAUCUACUGUUGAUUAUUGAAAUGGAUGACUUAUUGUCUUUGAAGCUUAGAAAUAUUUACAAGAAAAGUAUUUUUUCCUUUAAAAAUUUUUGACCUUAAAGACUAGAUUUCAGUAGUACUUCUGGAUAUAUCCUGCUUGUCCAAAAAUUGUUAAGUCUCUAAAUAACUGUUAUGUUACAGGAUGAAUCUGGCUAUAGAUGGUCAAGAGAUGAUCAUUCUGCAAGCCGACAGACUGAUUACAGGUAAACAGAUAAAGUAAUAACAGAAGUACUUUAAUACUUCAACUCUCUGCGAUGUGUGCUUCCCUCAGGAUAUAGCUGAAAAUAUUAGGAUUUCAAAUUUUGAAAGGAAGCCAGGCAUAAUCACACAUGCUUGUCAACACUCAAGAGGCUAAGGUAGGAGGAUCACUGCAAGUUUGAGUCCUGCCUGGGGUACAUAAUGAGUUCAAGGUCAGCCUGAAUUGCAGAGUGAGACCCUUUCUCAAAAAAACAAAAUAAAUAAAUAAAGUUAAAUUUUGAAAACAGCAAGCAUUAUAUUCAUUUUGUGACUAUAAUAGAGUGGGUAAUUAAUAUUCUACAUAUUGUUGACAUUUUGUAAUUUAUAAUAAAAAUGCAUACUUUAAAAAUUUCAAUUAAUAUAUUCUUCAAGUUAGUAUUAUUAACAUGUCAUAUGACGUAUGAGGUUUAGGUGUGCUGAAUUACAAGUAAAGCAGUUCUUUCAGAAAUAGCCUUCUGGAAUACUUAUGUUAUUUUAUUUUAUUUUAUUUUAUCUUUUGGUACCGGGGAUCGAACUCGGGUCCUUGUGCUUGCACAGCCGGCAACGAAACCACUGAGCUAAAUCCCUGGCCCAAUACUUAUGUUAUUACAAAGUGUAUUCUUUUUUUUUUUUUUUUGGUACCAGGGAUUGAACUGAGGUCCUUGCGCUUGCACCACAGGCAGCGAAACCACUGAGCUAAAUCCCUGGCCCUACAAAGAUGUUCUCAGUUGCUUUAUUUUGAUUAAUAAAAGUCUGUUAGAAAAAAACAUUUUGAAAGGCCCUGUCUUUGUUAGCUUUGGUUACUCACAGAGGGUACCUGAUAGAAUAGUUGGCGAAUAAAACUUACAACUAGAGCUGAGCACAGUAGCCCAAAGAGGCUACUGAUUGCAAAUUUGUGCCCAGCCUGGGCAAUUUAGUGAGACCCUCUCUCAAAAACAGGGGCUGGGGAUGUAGGUCAGUGGCAGAGUGCUCCAGGAUUCAAUCCCUGGUCCAAUUAAAAAAAAAGUGAUGGGCAGAUAAGCAACUUUUUAUUUGCUCAAUUUUUGGUACUGGGAAUGAACCCAGGGCUUCACACUGAGCUACAUCCCAGCCCUUUCUUUCCUUUUUAUUUUUGAGACAAGGACUCACUAAGUCUCUUCAGUUGCAUGGACUGGGCUCAGAUUGCCAUCCUCUGCCUCAGCCUCCCAGAGUGCUGUGUGUACAGGCACAGACCACCAUCCCCUAUUGAAAACAUGAUUUUGUCAUUUGUUCUUCAAAUGACUCUACAGUAUUCAUUUUGAGAGUUUUAAAGAAGCCCUUUAACGAUGUCUUAUGAGCUCUCCGGGAAAAGAAGCCCAAAUUCCUAGAGAAUGUAUUGACAUGAAGAAUGAUAGUGUCUGCCAUAAAACCAUAGGUACCAGGCCAGAGCUGGACUCAAAUUCAGUGGGUCAGAGCAAUACAUUUUAUUGUGUUAGGCCUAGUCGAUGGCUGUGCACACAGUGGGGUGUGCUAUGGCUAAGGAACCCAGGGUCAAGAGCUCACUACCUUUUGGAGCAAGCAGGGAGUUGCGAGCUGGUCCUUUCUCUGGUAGUGAGCAGCCCUUCAGUAGUUAGGCUGUAGUUCCCUUGUCUCUAUAAACGACCAUAGAGACUGCUUGGCAUCAGUAUGUAGUUAGGUCUUAUAGUUUGACAUUCAGAUCCCAUUACAGACCACCAAGAGAAGCAAAAAAGAAUAAAUGCUGAAAAACAGGUUUUGAUAACAUUGAACACUCAGUAGUCAUAAAAAGCUUAUAGCCAGCUGGGAAUGGAAAAGAAUUUCCUCAACCUGAUAAAUAGCAUUUGCUGUACUGAAAGGUAAAGUUAGAACAUUUGCUUUAAAAUCAGAACAAAAUAGUGACACCUGCUAUUGCUGUUUCAGCUCAGGAUGAUACAUCUUGGCUCUUGCAGGAAGGACAAGCAAAGUAAAGGUGUAGAGAUUACAAUGGAAGUUUUUUCCCCUUGUUUUUUGGCAGUACUCAGGAUUGAACCCAGAACCAUCAUGCUGAGCUACAUCCCCAACCCUUUUUAUUUUUUGGA